rnacentral:rRNA from 1 species
UACGUAGGGUACAAGCGUUGUCCGGAAUUAUUGGGCGUAAAGAGCUCGUAGGCGGUUUGUCGCGUCUGCUGUGAAAACUCGGGGCUUAACCCCGGGCCUGCAGUGGGUACGGGCAGACUAGAGUGCGGUAGGGGAGACUGGAAUUCCUGGUGUAGCGGUGAAAUGCGCAGAUAUCAGGAGGAACACCGGUGGCGAAGGCGGGUCUCUGGGCCGUAACUGACGCUGAGGAGCGAAAGCGUGGGGAGCGAACAGG